rnacentral:lncRNA from 1 species
AUGGCCGCCAACAGACCCUCUUCUGAAAGCUCGGACUCCGUAAUCUCAACCUUCUCCUCCAUGUCUGUGGGUUCCGGGUCCGGUUCUGGUUCUGGUUCUGGUUCCGGGUCCGGGUCUAGUUCCGGUUCUGGCCUGGCCGUGGUCCAGUUCCAGCUGGGCCUGCUAAAGGAGGUGGUCCAGGCGUCGUCAAGGAGACUCAGCUUCCGCUCGGCCAAGAGGCUCGCUGCUGAGAUCAUUGAGAGAAAGGCUCCAGAGGUGAGUGUGAUUGGUCUGGGGGAGAAACUGCUGCUGUUUCGCCAUGAGCCUGGCUAUGACAACUUCCUGCGGAAACUCACAGAACAGGACACACUGCAGGACGGGGACCUGGUGGAGGUGGUACUCGCAGGUGAGUGUGUGUGUGUGUGUGUGUGUGUGUGUGUGUGUGUGUGUGUGUGUGUGUGUGUGUGUGUGUGUCACACUGCAGGACGGGGCCUGGUGGAGGUGGUACUCGCAGGUGAGUGUGUGUGUGUGUGUGUGUGUGUGUGUGUGUGUGUGUGUCAGUGUGUGUCAGUGUGUGUGUCAGUGUGUGUCAGUGUGUGUCCGUGUGUGUCAGUGUGUGUGUCUGUGUGUGUGUCUGUGUCAGUGUGUGUGUGUGUGUGUGUGUCAGUGUGUAUCAGUGUGUGUGUGUCAGUGUGUGUGUGUGUGUGUCCGUGUCUGUCAGUGUGUGUCAGUGUGUGUCAGUAGUUUGUGUUCAUAUCUGUAUUAGACAACAGGAGCUCAACUGGUAGAGUCAUUGGUAGAGCAAGCUGCU